rnacentral:rRNA from 1 species
UACAGAGGUGGCAAGCGUUGUUCGGAAUUACUGGGCGUAAAGGGCGCGUAGGCGGCCUUUCAAGUCCUGUGUGAAAUCCCUCGGCUCAACUGAGGAAUUGCACGGGAAACUGUUUGGCUUGAGUUCGGGAGAGGGAAGCGGAAUUCCGGGUGUAGCGGUGAAAUGCGUAGAUAUCCGGAGGAACACCGGUGGCGAAGGCGGCUUCCUGGACCGACACUGACGCUGAGGCGCGAAAGCUAGGGGAGCAAACGGG